CAAGUUCAAAGACCCUUUGAAGAUAAUGAAAGACAAUAGUUGUCAAAUCCUCACCAACGGUGAUUAGUGCUACUGAGAGUAGAUUGUCCGCUUCAUUUCCCAACGAAAUACCAAUCGAAAGUGGAAGUGAUGCGAACCUACUUGGAUGUGACAACUAAGUGAAAUAAGAGUCAAUGAGCAAAUUUUGUGGAGGAAGGACCCAAAACUUCAGAAGUUUGCGAGACGAUGCUCGUUAAAGCUCCAACAAGCAUCCACCUAGUUCAAGCAGCAUGAGGCAUUUGAG
rnacentral:lncRNA from 1 species